AGCGCAUACGGUGGAUGCCUUGGCAGUCAGAGGCGAUGAAAGACGUGGUAGCCUGCGAAAAGCUUCGGGGAGUCGGCAAACAGACUGUGAUCCGGAGAUAUCUGAAUGGGGGAACCCAGCCAUCAUAAGAUGGUUAUCUUGUACUGAAUACAUAGGUGCAAGAGGCGAACCAGGGGAACUGAAACAUCUAAGUACCCUGAGGAAAAGAAAUCAACCGAGAUUCCCUUAGUAGUGGCGAGCGAACGGGGACCAGCCCUUAAGUUGUAUUGAGAUUAGCGGAACGUUCUGGAAAGGACGGCCAUAGUGGGUGAUAGCCCUGUACGCGAAAAUCCCUUUGCAAUGAAAUCGAGUAGGACGGGGCACGAGAAACCUUGUCUGAAUAUGGGGGGACCAUCCUCCAAGGCUAAAUACUACUGACUGACCGAUAGUGAACCAGUACCGUGAGGGAAAGGCGAAAAGAACCGCGGAGAGCGGAGUGAAAUAGAUCCUGAAACCGUAUGCGUACAAGCAGUGGGAGCCCACUUUGUUGGGUGACUGCGUACCUUUUGUAUAAUGGGUCAGCGACUUAUUUUCAGUGGCGAGCUUAACCGAAUAGGGGAGGCGUAGCGAAAGCGAGUCUUAAUAGGGCGUCUAGUCGCUGGGAAUAGACCCGAAACCGGGCGAUCUAUCCAUGGGCAGGUUGAAGGUUGGGUAACACUAACUGGAGGACCGAACCGACUACCGUUGAAAAGUUAGCGGAUGACCUGUGGAUCGGAGUGAAAGGCUAAUCAAGCUCGGAGAUAGCUGGUUCUCCUCGAAAGCUAUUUAGGUAGCGCCUCAUGUAUCACUGUAGGGGGUAGAGCACUGUUUCGGCUAGGGGGUCAUCCCGACUUACCAAACCGAUGCAAACUCCGAAUACCUACAAGUGCCGAGCAUGGGAGACACACGGCGGGUGCUAACGUCCGUCGUGAAAAGGGAAACAACCCAGACCGUCAGCUAAGGUCCCAAAGUCAUGGUUAAGUGGGAAACGAUGUGGGAAGGCUUAGACAGCUAGGAGGUUGGCUUAGAAGCAGCCACCCUUUAAAGAAAGCGUAAUAGCUCACUAGUCGAGUCGGCCUGCGCGGAAGAUGUAACGGGGCUCAAACCAUGCACCGAAGCUACGGGUAUCAUCUUAUGAUGAUGCGGUAGAGGAGCGUUCUGUAAGCCUGUGAAGGUGAGUUGAGAAGCUUGCUGGAGGUAUCAGAAGUGCGAAUGCUGACAUGAGUAACGACAAUGGGUGUGAAAAACACCCACGCCGAAAGACCAAGGUUUCCUGCGCAACGUUAAUCGACGCAGGGUUAGUCGGUCCCUAAGGCGAGGCUGAAAAGCGUAGUCGAUGGAAAACAGGUUAAUAUUCCUGUACUUCUGGUUAUUGCGAUGGAGGGACGGAGAAGGCUAGGCCAGCCUGGCGUUGGUUGUCCAGGUUUAAGGUGGUAGGCUGAGAUCUUAGGUAAAUCCGGGAUCUUAAGGCCGAGAGCUGAUGACGAGUGUUCUUUUAGAACAUGAAGUGGUUGAUGCCAUGCUUCCAAGAAAAGCUUCUAAGCUUCAGGUAACCAGGAACCGUACCCCAAACCGACACAGGUGGUUGGGUAGAGAAUACCAAGGCGCUUGAGAGAACUCGGGUGAAGGAACUAGGCAAAAUGGCACCGUAACUUCGGGAGAAGGUGCGCCGGUGGAGGUGAAGCAUUUACUGCGUAAGCCCCUGCCGGUCGAAGAUACCAGGCCGCUGCGACUGUUUAUUAAAAACACAGCACUCUGCAAACACGAAAGUGGACGUAUAGGGUGUGACGCCUGCCCGGUGCCGGAAGGUUAAUUGAUGGGGUUAGCGCAAGCGAAGCUCUUGAUCGAAGCCCCGGUAAACGGCGGCCGUAACUAUAACGGUCCUAAGGUAGCGAAAUUCCUUGUCGGGUAAGUUCCGACCUGCACGAAUGGCGUAACGAUGGCGGCGCUGUCUCCACCCGAGACUCAGUGAAAUUGAAAUCGCUGUGAAGAUGCAGUGUAUCCGCGGCUAGACGGAAAGACCCCGUGAACCUUUACUAUAGCUUUGCACUGGACUUUGAAUUUGCUUGUGUAGGAUAGGUGGGAGGCUUUGAAGCGUGGACGCCAGUCUGCGUGGAGCCAACCUUGAAAUACCACCCUGGCAACUUUGAGGUUCUAACUCAGGUCCGUUAUCCGGAUCGAGGACAGUGUAUGGUGGGUAGUUUGACUGGGGCGGUCUCCUCCUAAAGAGUAACGGAGGAGUACGAAGGUGCGCUCAGACCGGUCGGAAAUCGGUCGUAGAGUAUAAAGGCAAAAGCGCGCUUGACUGCGAGACAGACACGUCGAGCAGGUACGAAAGUAGGUCUUAGUGAUCCGGUGGUUCUGUAUGGAAGGGCCAUCGCUCAACGGAUAAAAGGUACUCCGGGGAUAACAGGCUGAUACCGCCCAAGAGUUCAUAUCGACGGCGGUGUUUGGCACCUCGAUGUCGGCUCAUCACAUCCUGGGGCUGAAGCCGGUCCCAAGGGUAUGGCUGUUCGCCAUUUAAAGUGGUACGCGAGCUGGGUUUAGAACGUCGUGAGACAGUUCGGUCCCUAUCUGCCGUGGACGUUUGAGAUUUGAGAGGGGCUGCUCCUAGUACGAGAGGACCGGAGUGGACGAACCUCUGGUGUUCCGGUUGUCACGCCAGUGGCAUUGCCGGGUAGCUAUGUUCGGAAAAGAUAACCGCUGAAAGCAUCUAAGCGGGAAACUUGCCUCAAGAUGAGAUCUCACUGGAACCUUGA
rnacentral:rRNA from 1 species